rnacentral:sRNA from 1 species
GCUGGGCAUGGUGGCACACGCCUGUAAUUCCAGCUGCUCGGGAGGCUGAGACAGGAGGAUCUCAAGUUCAAAGCCAGCCUCAACAACUAGUGAGACCCUGACUCAA